rnacentral:rRNA from 1 species
AGCGAACGCUGGCGGCAGGCCUAACACAUGCAAGUCGAACGCCCGGGCAACCGGGAGUGGCAGACGGGUGAGUAACACGUGGGAACGUACCCUUUGGUUCGGAACAACACAGGGAAACUUGUGCUAAUACCGGAUAAGCCCUUACGGGGAAAGAUUUAUCGCCGAAGGAUCGGCCCGCGUCUGAUUAGCUUGUUGGUGGGGUAACGGCCCACCAAGGCGACGAUCAGUAGCUGGUCUGAGAGGAUGAUCAGCCACACUGGGACUGAGACACGGCCCAGACUCCUACGGGAGGCAGCAGUGGGGAAUAUUGGACAAUGGGCGCAAGCCUGAUCCAGCCAUGCCGCGUGGGUGAUGAAGGCCCUAGGGUUGUAAAGCCCUUUCGGCGGGAAGAUAAUGACGGUACCCGCAGAAGAAG